UACGGCGUGGAGCCCGGUAGCUCGCCAGCCGAUAAAUUGGAGGUCGCAGGUUCGAAUCCUGUCGCCGCAACCA
rnacentral:tRNA from 1 species